CACGUAGGGUGCGAGCGUUGUCCGGAUUUAUUGGGCGUAAAGAGCUCGUAGGCGGUUUGGCAAGUCGGGUGUGAAAUUUCGAGGCUCAACCUCGAAACGCCACUCGAUACUGCCAUGACUGGAGUCCGGUAGAGGAGUGCGGAAUUCCUGGUGUAGCGGUGAAAUGCGCAGAUAUCAGGAGGAACACCAACGGCGAAGGCAGCACUCUGGGCCGGUACUGACGCUGAGGAGCGAAAGCGUGGGGAGCAAACAGG
rnacentral:rRNA from 1 species